CCCAGCCCCACCCCGCCUCACGCCUCUGCGAAGGACACCCCCAAGCCGCCGCCGCCGCCGCACUUCUCCGGGAUGCCGCCGUGGAAGCGCCUCUCCGCCCAAGAACACCGCACCUGUCACUCACCCGCUCACGGCGCCGCCGCUCCGGCAGCGACGGAAAUAAACAGCGCGCACGUGACCGGCGCGGGCGGCGCGAGAUGGUGACGCGUGGCCCGCGGGGGCGCGGCCUGCAGCGGGGCGGGCGGGGGCCGCUUUAGCCUGCGUGUGCGCCGCUGUACGGUGGUGGCGCCGGCGCCUCCCCGGGGAGAAGGUGGCCUUCCACUAACUGGGUUGAUCCGCACCUCGUUGGUCCCCUAGCCCAGCUACGCCCGUGUAUCUCCGCGGCGGCAGCCACGGGAUGUUCCUUUAUUUCGUGUGCGACGAGACCUCAGCGGCACUUAGGUGUCGAAGUGGAGUACUAGUUGUAAGGCAACUCGGUAAAAGCCUUUUUUAAACGUUACACCCUGCAGUUAACUAUGGUCGCACCUACUGAGAGUAACCCGGAGGUACCGAGGUAAAAAAUGCUACCUGCAGGUCACUGCAGCUGAGAGGAUGCAGGCCUAAUUGUGAGACAAAACAAGACUUUUCCCCUGAAGAGCAGAAAACGCUGACAUGCGAUUACCUGUGGAAAGGAGACUAUGAAAUCGCAUAAGGCAGAAGAAAAGGGAACUUAAGUUUGGAAUCCGUGUGGUCACUAGGUUCUGUAGUGUACUCAGCAUGGAUUCCACCAGCUUCUUGGCAACUCCACGUACUCCUUGCAUGCACUGCA